rnacentral:rRNA from 1 species
UAGGAAGUCGGNACACGCAUCUCAGACGCGUUAGUAUCGGAUCCAGAUUCGUGAUUGGACGCGAAGACCNUUACCUGUCUUGACAUGUCAGNANCCCUGUAGAGAUACGGGUGCUUCGGGAGCCUGACACAGGUGCUGCAUGNCUGUCGUCAGCUCGUGUCGUGAGAUGUUGGNUUAAGUCCCGCAACGAGCGCAACCCUCGGCCUUAGUGCCAUCAUUUAGUUGGCACUCUAAGGCGACUGCCGGUGAUAAGCCGGAGGAAGGUGGGGAUGACGUCAAGUCCUCAUGGCCCUUACAGGUUGGGCUACACACGUGCUACAAUGGCGGUGACAGAGGGACGCGAAGGCGCAAGCCUUGGCAAAUCUCAAAAAGCCGUCUCAGUUCGGAUUGGGGUCUGCAACUCGACCCCAUGAAGUUGGAAUCGCUAGUAAUCGCAGAUCAGCACGCUGCGGUGAAUACGUUGCCC